UACAGAGGGGGCAAGCGUUGUUCGGAAUUACUGGGCGUAAAGGGCGCGUAGGCGGGCUGCCGCGUCCGGGGUGAAAUCCUCCGGCUCAACCGGGGAAGGGCCUCGGAUACGGGCGGCCUGGAGUGGGGUAGGGGCGUGCGGAACUGUGGGUGGAGCGGUGAAAUGCGUUGAGAUCCACAGGAACUCCGGUGGCGAAGGCGGCACGCUGGACCCUUUCUGACGCUGAGGCGCGAAAGCCAGGGGAGCGAACGGG
rnacentral:rRNA from 1 species